rnacentral:rRNA from 1 species
GACGAACGCUGCCGGCGUGCUUAACACAUGCAAGUCGAACGAGUGGCGAACGGGUGAGUAAUACGUGAGUAACCUGCCCUCUUUUCCCGAUAAGCCUUGGAAACGCGGGUUAAUACCGGUUAAAGGGGGCUGGGCUCGCGGCCUGUCAGCUUGUUGGUGGGGUGAUUGCCUACCAAGGCGGUGACGGGUGGCCGGCCUGGGAGGGUGGCCGGCCACAUUGUGACGGCGCAACGGCCCAGACUCCUACGUGAGGCAGCAGUGGGGGAUAGUGCAGAAUGGGCGAAAGCCGGAUGCAGCGACGCCGCGUGGGGGAUGAAGGCUGUCGGGUUGUGAACUUCUUUCGGUACCGAACGGGUAGGUGGAGAAGAAGCGCCGGCUAACUACGUGCCAGCAGCCGCGGUAAUAC